GAUGAACGCUAGCGGCAGGCCUAACACAUGCAAGUCGAGGGGCAGCACAGAAACAGCAAUGUUUUGGUGGCGACCGGCGGACGGGUGCGUAACGCGUAUGCAACCUACCUUUAACAGGGGGAUAACGGAGAGAAAUUUCCACUAAUACCCCAUAACAUCGAUCAAGGCAUCUUGAUUGGUUGAAAACUCCGGUGGUUAAAGAUGGGCAUGCGUUGUAUUAGGUAGUUGGUGAGGUAAUGGCUCACCAAGCCUACGAUACAUAGGGGGACUGAGAGGUUAGCCCCCCCCACUGGUACUGAGACACGGACCAGACUCCUAGGGGAGGCAGCAGUGAGGAAUAUUGGUCAAUGGGGGCAACCCUGAACCAGCCAUGCCGCGUGCAGGAAGACGGCUCUAUGAGUUGUAAACUGCUUUUAAACAGGGAUAAAGCACAGUAUGUAUACUGUGUUGAAGGUACUGUACGAAUAAGGAUCGGCUAACUCCGUGCCAGCAGCCGCCGUAA
rnacentral:rRNA from 1 species